CCGUACUAGAUGGGGAGGUAGCGGUGCCCUGUAGCCUGCAACCCGCUAUAGCAGGGUCGAAUUCCCAGGCUGAGGCCUGAUUUCUGUAAGGCCUGGCGCAAGUAAGUGGCGUUGAUACUUGAGUCCUGCGCAACGGAGAUUUGCGAACCCCGUCAGGUCCGGAAGGAAGCAGCGGUAAGCAAACACCUCCGUGUGCCGCAGGGGUGCUUGAGUGGAGCUAACUGCUUGCGUAACGCUUAUGGGGACAGGUCGAAGCUGGGUGUACGG
rnacentral:SRP_RNA from 18 species